UAAGAAUGUCUGGAUCUACCGGUUUCUCGGUCAACAUUUAAACAGUUCAAACUAGCUACUACUGCAAUCCUAUUCGUCCAUUCUGUGUUUUGUGGCCUUGAACCUGGAAUCACUUUGGAUCCGAAGCAAACGGAGUCGAAUGAGUAGAUGAUUCGGAAGAAACGGGGUCAAAUGAGUUCCACUAUAUAUAUUCUAUACAAACUUAUGAAAUGGUGUUACAAAAACAAAAAAAAAUAAAAACUUAUGAACAUUUUAGUAUUAUAUACGCUCUGAUUAAAUAUACUAUAAUGUUCUUUUUCAAUAAAUCCAGUAGUAUCUCUCUAUGUAUAUCAGUAUAUGUGUGUAUGUUUCUAACAAGAGAGGGGAAAGUUUUUUAAGCUGUCGUAAGUAGUUUAUUCACCGGCCAAAAAACUCAGAGAAAUGUCGAUGGGACCCACUAAAGAAUGAUUAGUUCCGCCGCUUGAUUAGUGACCGUCGGCCGACCCACCACCGUCCUACGUG
rnacentral:lncRNA from 1 species